AGACAGUUACCAUGCCCUUUCGAAAGGAGUCAGGUUUUAAACCUAAUGGCUCUUUCAUGAUUAUAUGAUAGGUGGUGCAUGGCCGUUCUUAGUUCGUGGAGUGAUCUGUCUGCUUAAUUGCGUUUCAAAUUUUUAUUUGAGGACCAGGUUUUGGUUUGGGUAGUGGUCCUACGAUGACUGUGAACUGUCAUGUCUUCGGAUGUGCGACUAUCGGUCUAGGAUCGCAUCUCAGCCCCUGGGACUCUUUUGAACGCAACGGACGUGAUUGCAACCCCUUGUUGAGAUUAGAGGAGUCUCGAUAUUCAUUGGCCAAACUUACCGCUUCGAGCUUGCUCGUGCAGUUUUGUUAGCCGGUGGAUAAACUCGGGGGACUGCUGACUAUAACCAUUUCUCAAAACAGAGGAAGGUUGCGGCAAUA
rnacentral:rRNA from 1 species